GCGGGAUGCUGAAUUAGAGAUCGGCGCCCAUACAUUCAUUUAACUGGAGUUUAUUAUGUCUCUAAGCGUAGAAGCUAAAGCAGAGAUCGUUGCUAAAUAUGGUCGUGGUGCU
rfam:Pantoea stewartii subsp. stewartii DC283 WGS_Sequence37, whole genome shotgun sequence.